CAGUCGCCGCGGGAAUACGGAGGAUCCAAGCGUUAUCCGGAAUCAUUGGGUUUAAAGGGUCCGUAGGCGGUCUUGUAAGUCAGUGGUGAAAGCCCAUCGCUCAACGGUGGAACGGCCAUUGAUACUGCAGGACUUGAAUUAUUGGGAAGUAACUAGAAUAUGUAGUGUAGCGGUGAAAUGCUUAGAGAUUACAUGGAAUACCAAUUGCGAAGGCAGGUUACUACCAAUUGAUUGACGCUGAUGGACGAAAGCGUGGGUAGCGAACAGGAUUAGAUACCCGCGUAGUCCCUGUCUCUUAUAU
rnacentral:rRNA from 1 species